UCUCCACCCACUCCUCACCAAGAACUCCUGAACUUGAGAGUGGACGACUUCAAAGCUAGCUCUCACAGACUCACCUGGAAAAGAGUUCAGCUGCGCGUUCAUUGAACCGAGAGGCCAGAUCACCUAUGUGAGGCGGUGGGAACCAUAUGGAGAUUUAUAUUAGAACUUCAGCAAAGUGCACAGCUGCAGCCGGCAGAAGCCAGCUCUCGGGCUGACAGGCAAAUGAACCAGAUCGUGGACGGGGCCUCUGGGUGGCAGCUCCGGCCUUUUGGUUGUUGGACAACUAUAGUCAGAACUGAAAUGGAACAGGGGCAGGAGAAAUAACACACUUUUACUCCACGCAACUGUUGCUUUCACAUGAUCUUCAGGAAUGUAACUGGGAUAAUUGUCCAAAUUGAAUCCCAUACCCUGUCAUGGUACUGAUUAUUAAGGUGACUAUAUGAAAGGAUCACUCCAAAAUAACACAUACCAGAAUAGGAGUCCUGUCUUAACUGAGCAAUAUACACUAUGGAGAGAUCCUUCAAAACCCGUCGGGACGAAUAACAGAUGAAUUCAUAAAACUGUUCAUCUCUGUUAUCCUGAAUGGUCACUCAGACAACAUUUUACUCAACUAUAAAGGGGAACACUUAAAGUGCAUAUGAGAAGAGAAGAGAAUGACCACAGGAGAAAAUCAUCUCAGAACCAAUCACUGCCAGGGACCCUGUAGCUGCCUACUUGCCUGGAACCCAGGUGACAGAAAAAUCUGUGGUGUACGCUCUCCACCAAGACUCCAAUUUUGCCUGUUUUGUUUAUUGGAUAUUGUCUCAAAUGUCUCUAAUGAACAAAUUUAAUUUAUUGUAUCAUUUAUUUUUAAUUUUUAAUAGACAUUUUCUUUAUUUACAUUUCAAAUGCUAUCCCAAAAGUUCCCUAUACCCUCCCCCCGCUGCCCUGCUCCCCUACCCACCCACUCCCACUUCUUACCCUGGAAUUCCCCUGUACUGAGGAAGAUAAAGUUUGUUUUUUAAUCACAAUUGCUCUGUAGUACAGCUUGAGGUCAGGUAUAGUGAUUCCAUCAGAAGUUCUUUUAUUGUUGAGAAUAGUUUUUGCUAUCCUGGGUUAUUUGUUAUUCCAGAUGAAUUUGGAAAUUUCUCUUUCUAAAUCUAUGAAGCAUUGAGUUGGAAUUUUGAUGGGGAUUGCAUUGAAUCUGUAGAUUGCUUGCAACAAGAUGGCCAUUUUUACUA
rnacentral:lncRNA from 1 species